CCCAGAAAAGGCAAUGGAACAGAUUGACCACUGAUGUCACUUCACAGAUACAGCAACCUCAUUGGCACGAAACUUCAGUUGUUUAUUUCUUUGGAUCAAUUUGCCCAUCUCCAGCUGUCUCAAAAUGCCUUCAGAAGAAUGGGAACAUUCAUUUUAGCAACAAUAGUACUGCGAAAUUAUAAAAUCUAAGACUGGUUACUAAUUAUCCUUGUCUGGAAUAGAAGA
rnacentral:lncRNA from 1 species